UUUAUGGAGAGUUUGAUCCUGGCUCAGGAUGAACGCUGGCGGCGUGCCUAAUACAUGCAAGUCGAGCGAACAGACGAGGAGCUUGCUCCUUCGACGUUAGCGGCGGACGGGUGAGUAACACGUAGGUAACCUACCUAUAAGACUGGGAUAACUUCGGGAAACCGGAGCUAAUACCGGAUAAUAUUUCGAACCGCAUGGUUCGAUAGUGAAAGAUGGCUUUGCUAUCACUUAUAGAUGGACCUGCGCCGUAUUAGCUAGUUGGUAAGGUAACGGCUUACCAAGGCGACGAUACGUAGCCGACCUGAGAGGGUGAUCGGCCACACUGGAACUGAGACACGGUCCAGACUCCUACGGGAGGCAGCAGUAGGGAAUCUUCCGCAAUGGGCGAAAGCCUGACGGAGCAACGCCGCGUGAGUGAUGAAGGUCUUCGGAUCGUAAAACUCUGUUAUUAGGGAAGAACAAACGUGUAAGUAACUGUGCACGUCUUGACGGUACCUAAUCAGAAAGCCACGGCUAACUACGUGCCAGCAGCCGCGGUAAUACGUAGGUGGCAAGCGUUAUCCGGAAUUAUUGGGCGUAAAGCGCGCGUAGGCGGUUUUUUAAGUCUGAUGUGAAAGCCCACGGCUCAACCGUGGAGGGUCAUUGGAAACUGGAAAACUUGAGUGCAGAAGAGGAAAGUGGAAUUCCAUGUGUAGCGGUGAAAUCUGAUGUGAAAGCCCACGGCUCAACCGUGGAGGGUCAUUGGAAACUGGAAAACUUGAGUGCAGAAGAGGAAAGUGGAAUUCCAUGUGUAGCGGUGAAA
rnacentral:rRNA from 1 species